rnacentral:tRNA from 1 species
UCCCUGGUGGUCCAGUGGCUAAGACAUAGCACUCCCAAUGCAGGGGGCCUAGGUUUGAUUCCUGUUUAGGGAA